CAUUGAAAUAUUAAACUAAUCUCUCACUCUCUCGCUCACGCCUCACACGUUUUCUGUCUCUUGCUCACUCUACUCAGUUCCCUUCCCAAUCGCCGCUCAGCCAUCACCGUCGCCACUCACGGGGAGACUCGCCCUCCUCGACCGACGUUCCCUCCACAUCCUUCAACAAAGUUUCCGGCGUCUGUUCGAGCUUAUCCUCUCGUGAAGAAAAUAGACAUCUCAUUCUCGUGUUAGAAGAAAAGCCAACCUAGCUGCUGAUAACUUGACAAAGUUCAGUCUAUCUUCUCAGAUUCAGUCCCAGAUUUUGAUGGCAUUGAUCAGAGGGUGAUGGACCAUUACCGUAAAAAGGGAUAAUGCAAAGAUCUUGUCUGGAAAGGAAGAAUUAGCAAGAGUAAGUACGGAGGGUAAUGUAGCAAUACAAUGGUCUCACUCUAGAAAGGAAAUAUAGCAAUACAAUGGUCUCACUCUAGAAAGGAAAUAUGUAUAGCAACAACACUAAGUAGAGGUACAUGACACGGCCAGACUCACCUAAAUGCGACCAACAUGAUAAGAUGAUUGUAGCACCUCACAUGGUUAAGGGCCUACACGUGCCCACUACGUACUAACAUCCCCAUCUCAAUCUUUCUUUCUUAGCUAAGCCUCUUGUGCCCCCACUUAAUUAAAGUGUUUCAUUUCUCUUUGUUUCUUUCAAUAUGGUUUGAUUUUGAUCUUCGUUUCACCUUGCUUGUAAUAAGAAAAACGAAAAUGGUAACAUAGGUAUUCAUAGUGAAAAAUGCUAUCUAACUAAUAACUUUGCUCCUAAAAUAGGAAAAGCAAAAGCUUAGCAAAUAUAAGUAAGAAGUCUUCAUUAAUAUAAGUGGGAGACUCCUGAAAACUUAAAGCCUUGAGAUUUUGAUGAAUUAGAUGGGAUGUUGAAUUCAUUUGUAUCUACUCGUAGUGUAUCAAUAAAGAGAUUUCUCCAAUAUUUUAGUCCAUUGUAUUUUUCAUUAUGGAUUGUGCGAUUUUAGUCCAUUGUAUUUUUCAUUAUGGAUUGUUGUUACUUCAGUUCUGUGAUCUUCUGAGAGGUAAUAGAAGUUGUGUGUGUGCG